ensembl:snRNA U2 U2 spliceosomal RNA
AUUUUUUGUCUUGUAUUCAUAAAAAAAAAUCUGUUCUUAUCAGUUUAAUAUCUGAUACGUCCCCCAUCCGGGGACCAUAUAUUAAACAGAUUUUUGGAACAGGGAGCUGGAUCAGGAGCUUGCUCUGUCCUCUCCACGCAUCGGCCCAGUAUUGCAGCGCCUCCGGGAACGGUGCACCACCU